rnacentral:lncRNA from 1 species
UUGAUUUGUGUUACCAGUUAUCACCAAUUAGAACCAAGCUAAAAGUUAAAAAUUGUAAGACGCCAUAAUUGAAAUAAUUGCUAGCUAUUAAUAGCAUUACGAUCUAAUAAACAAAGAAUUGCAUAAGUGGGAGCAUACAAUAUGUCCUUGUAAAAUUUCAGUCGAUUAAAAAAUGAAGAAUUUCCCCGUUGGUCCUUGAAAUAAUGAAUUGAUUGGCAUCUCUUAACCUGCAAAGUUCAGGUGAAAUGAAAAGGAAUUAGAGGCUUCAAUGCAUUAAACUUAUCACAAUCAUAUUCAUAAAAAAUAUGCACGAAAAGUAUAAUUUGCAGUGGCUUUCUCAGUGAUAUAGAAGCAUGCAUGUUUCUUUGAAACCAAAUUAAUUAUGCUUUAAAAGAUCGAAUCAUUCUGUUUCACUUGCCUAAAUUGAUCAGUGAUAUUCUCUGUAGUGUGAAGGCUAAUGCAUUGAUCAGGGUAAACGUUAGAAAGCAAUUCAGCUCAUCCACGGCCAUUAAGGCCAAAGUUAUCAUUAUAUAUCUGAUACCGAACUGCCAAGUUCAGUUCAUUUACGAUAUUAUUUUAUUAAAUAAUCUGGUUAGUUCGAAAAAUAAUCUGGUUAAUUCGUCUAUCAAAUUCAACUUCUUAAUAAUUCAAAUCUAGUUUCCCUUUAUCAUAUUGUGCAAAAGAUGAUUAGGUAGAGAAAUAAGUGAACACAACUAUUGAAAGCAAAAGGAAGCAUUAUAUGCAUUGCUGCUGGAACAUACCCGUAUUGGUGAUAAUUAACUGAAGAACAUAUUCUAGAAGACGAUCUAGAAUCUCCAUUUCCUAUGAUGCCACAUUUGAAGCUUUUUUAAGUAGAGGAUGCAUUCACGGGAUUAAGAUUGAGUAUCGCACAAAGAACAAUUAUGAAGUGAAGGAAGAAGAGCUCAAUGAAGGCAAAGAGAAAGAACCUUUUAAGGUUGUUGAAGACAACAUUCUGGCCAAUCUUGCAGUCUAUGCCAAAAUAAUUGUUAAACCUGUCAAGAAUUCCAACAAAAGUUGAAGUUUGGUUUGAAAUGUUUAAAUUCAUUUGUAUAGUGUACUACUGUGUGCGAGCUCUUUCCAAGCUAUCAUUGAAAGAAUCUCAAUAAAGAACUUCAAUAAAGAGAUAACAAGAUUCGCUUAUCAAAUACCUAUGCCAAAACUAAUGAAAAUGUUACUCAAGACAUGGAUGAUGUGUGAGGCAUAAUUACCGAGAAUUUUAUGACGCUCAAAUGUCAAUGAAAAAGCUAUUAAAUGAUAAAAGUAAUUAACUAAACAAGAGAAAUGCAUCAUCCCCUGACUUAACAAUUUUAGGGAAACUCUAAAUUUUCAUGGAGGCAUCUAGAAAAACUUUGUUCUUCAAUGAGAAAGAAGCACGUUUCAUUUGCCAAUUUUGAUUUAUAAUUUAUUUUUCUUGGCUAGGCUACACAUCAUUUCCAUCUUUAUUAUGAUUUUCUCGGUUUACAGCAUAUGCACAUAUAUAAAAAGAUUGUUUACAUGUCGACAAUAACAUAUAUAGUCUGAUGGUAUCAAAGGUCAAAGAUGUCAAAUAGAUCACCACUACCAAAAAUCACGAGGCUGAAAGAGUAGUUCAUGAGUAAAAAUGGCCCAUUCCAUUGCUAAGAUUUNNNN